GCAGUUAGUUAUAAUAAUGCGAUGACAAGUAUAAAAAAAAUGUGGGUAGUAAAAUAAAAUCCAUCAUGAUUUUAAACUAAUUAAUUUAAUUAAAAAAGCCAUAUAUACAGAGAACGCGGUAAUUCGGGUAUGCAACUAUACAAGACACAGGUUUUUUACACUUACACAUAUUGUAUUGAAGCCAGAUAUUUUCAAGAAGUUAUUUAUACGUUCCCUCUUUUAUGCGUUAGAUUGAUAUUAAUAAUUAAGGCAAUCUCAAGUUAUCUUCCUUCUAAUACACGUUGUUAAAACUUAACUCCAAAAUAUCUGGCUUUAAUAAUGACGUGUCAUUGAAUACCUAAAACUUAUAAAAUUAAACAAAAAUAACAUUACAGAUCCACAGAGAACAUUAUUUAAAGUUAAUUAAUUACAUAAAGUUACAUAAUAAUGAACAAACAUGUUUCAAGGUUCCAGUCACUGGCAAAAUAAUAGAAAAUUAAUAUUUAUGCCUACUUUGAGUCAUUAUAACAUAGAUGAGUUGACUGUACAGUACAUAAAUAUAAAUACAAAAUAAGUACAAACAUAAUAAUUAUUAUCAUAGUGCAUGAGGUAAAAUUAACUAUUGGAAAUUGCUAACUUUUGCUGAUGAAAUGAAAGUCAACUAAGUUACAAAAAGAGAACGAUUUUACGCUUAAAAAAACGAUACACUAAGAAAGUCAGUCCAAGUUUAAAAACAAAUACUUUUUAGUUAGUAACCGAAUAUUUUACUGUAAACUAAAAAACUAGGCUUCAAAGAGUAAUCGUAUGAACCAGCAUAAAAAUACACUAAACACAGGCAGGAUUUUAGCAAAACAAUCAAUAAAUAUUUUCUUAAUUUUCGUGACACGUUGGAGACGUUUUUAUAGCACCAAAGUGAAGGCAGCAAAAACAAAUAAAUAAAAAUGGCGCCACAUUGCUAAAUGUAAACUUAACGCACAACAUAAAUUAAAUUUGAUUGACCACUGCAGUUUUGUGACACGGCAUCUGAAAAAGCGUCUAUUCACAACGCAUCACAAAAACUUUAACCUUUUUAAUGUUUUAUAAAUUUAAUUUUAUUUAUCUACUCGGAUUUCAAGUCAAAAUUGGGGAAGGUGUAUAUUUUUUAUAAAGGUGUUGCAACAAAGUUUGUAAGUCGAGCAGGAUGGUCACCUU